rnacentral:rRNA from 1 species
UAGGGAAUUGUUCGCAAUGGGCGCAAGCCUGACGACGCAACGCCGCGUGGAGGAUGAAGAUCUUCGGGUCGUAAACUCCUUUCGAUCGAGACGAACGGCCCCUGGGCUAAUCACCAGGGGAGUGACGGUACCGAGAGAAGAAGCCCCGGCUAACUCCGUGCCAGCAGCCGCGGUAAUACGGGGGGGGCAAGCGUUGUUCGGAAUUACUGGGCGUAAAGGGCUCGUAGGCGGCCAACUAAGUCAGACGUGAAAUCCCUCGGCUUAACCGGGGAACUGCGUCUGAUACUGGAUGGCUUGAGAUUGGGAGAGGGAUGCGGAAUUCCAGGUGUAGCGGUGAAAUGCGUAGAUAUCUGGAGGAACACCGGUGGCGAAGGCGGCAUCCUGGACCAACACUGACGCUGAGUGAGCGAAAGCCAGGGGAGCAAACGG